UGGAUGCCUUGGCAUAAAGAGGCGAUGAAAGACGUGGCACUCUGCGAUAAGCUACGGGGAGGUGAGAGCAACCUUUGAUCCGUAGAUCUCUGAAUGGGGCAACCCGGCGCUUUAGCGUCAUCGUUAACUGAAUACAUAGGUUAACGAAGCAAACCCGGCGAAGUGAAACAUCUCAGUAGCCGGAGGAAAGGACAUCAACCGAGACUCCGUUAGUAGUGGCGAGCGAACGCGGACUAGGCCAGUGGCAAUUAUGUAAGAACCGAAAUCGUCUGGAAAGUCGAGCCAUAGUGGGUGAUAGCCCCGUACGGGUAGAAAGCAUUUUUGUCCUCGAGUAGGGCGGGACACGUGAAAUCCUGUCUGAACAUGGGGGGACCACCCUCCAAGCCUAAAUACUCGUACAUGACCGAUAGCGAACACAGUACCGUGAGGGAAAGGUGAAAAGUACUCCGAAUAGGAGGGUGAAAUAGAACCUGAAACCGUGCGCUUACAAGCGGUCGGAGCGGAGCGAUUCCGUGACGGCGUGCCUUUUGCAUAAUGAGCCUACGA
rnacentral:rRNA from 1 species